rnacentral:misc_RNA from 1 species
GCAAACUUGGUCAUUUAGAGGAAGUAAAAGUCGUAACAAGGUUUCCGUAGGUGAACCUGCGGAAGGAUCAUUAUAGAAUUGUUCGAAUCCAUACGGACACAUUCUUAAAAUCCGUAUCCACACCGGCAGGGCCUGUUUUUCGGGCCUUUGCCGUAGGGUUCCUUUCUUUUUCUCUCCUCUCUGUUAGAGUGGGAGAGAAGGGGGGAGGUUCCUGUCUGACCUUUGCCUAUAAUUUUUAUAUUGUCUGAACUUUUUAUUUUAUUAUAAAAUAAAAACAACUUUCAACAACGGAUCUCUUGGCUCUCGCAUCGAUGAAGAACGCAGC